rnacentral:rRNA from 1 species
GAUGAACGCUGGCGGCGUGCCUAAUACAUCCAAGUCGAGCGAACAGACGAGGAGCUUGCUCCUCUGACGUUAGCGGCGGACGGGUGAGUAACACGUGGAUAACCUACCUAUAAGACUGGGAUAACUUCGGGAAACCGGAGCUAAUACCGGAUAAUAUAUUGAACCGCAUGGUUCAAUAGUGAAAGACGGUUUUGCUGUCACUUAUAGAUGGAUCCGCGCCGCAUUAGCUAGUUGGUAAGGUAACGGCUUACCAAGGCAACGAUGCGUAGCCGACCUGAGAGGGUGAUCGGCCACACUGGAACUGAGACACGGUCCAGACUCCUACGGGAGGCAGCAGUAGGGAAUCUUCCGCAAUGGGCGAAAGCUUGACGGAGCAACGCCGCGUGAGUGAUGAAGGUCUUCGGAUCGUAAAACUCUGUUAUUAGGGAAGAACAAAUGUGUAAGUAACUAUGCACGUCUUGACGGUACCUAAUCAGAAGGCCACGGCUAACUACGUG